AGACCCGAAACCCGGUGAUCUAGCCAUGGGCAGGUUGAAGGUUGGGUAACACUAACUGGAGGACCGAACCGACUAAUGUUGAAAAAUUAGCGGAUGACCUGUGGCUGGGGGUGAAAGGCCAAUCAAACCGGGAGAUAGCUGGUUCUCCCCGAAAGCUAUUUAGGUAGCGCCUCGUGAAUUCAUCUCCGGGGGUAGAGCACUGUUUCGGCUAGGGGGCCAUCCCGGCUUACCAACCCGAUGCAAACUGCGAAUACCGGAGAAUGUUAUCACGGGAGACACACGGCGGGUGCUAACGUCCGUCGUGAAGAGGGAAACAACCCAGACCGCCAGCUAAGGUCCCAAAGUCAUGGUUAAGUGGGAAACGAUGUGGGAAGGCCCAGACAGCCAGGAUGUUGGCUUAGAAGCAGCCAUCAUUUAAAGAAAGCGUAAUAGCUCACUGGUCGAGUCGGCCUGCGCGGAAGAUGUAACGGGGCUAAACCAUGCACCGAAGCUGCGGCAGCGAACGUAUCACCCAAGACAACUUUACGGAGUUGACGAUUGACGGAGCGAAGCGACGUCAAAGCGUUCAUUAAAGUCAAGUUGGCUUAGGGAUACGUUCGUUGGGUAGGGGAGCGUUCUGUAAGCCUGUGAAGGUGUGUCGUGA
rnacentral:rRNA from 1 species